ACUCCUACGGGAGGCAGCAGUGGGAAUAUUGGACAAUGGGCGCAAGCCUGAUCCAGCCAUGCCGCGUGUGUGAAGAAGGCCUUCGGGUUGUAAAGCACUUUUGUACGGGAAGAAACGCGAUCGGUUAAUACCCGGUCGAACUGACGGUACCGUAAGAAUAAGCACCGGCUAACUUCGUGCCAGCAGCCGCGGUAAUACGAAGGGUGCAAGCGUUACUCGGAAUUACUGGGCGUAAAGCGUGCGUAGGUGGUUUGUUAAGUCAGAUGUGAAAGCCCUGGGCUCAACCUGGGAACUGCAUUUGAUACUGGCAGGCUAGAGUGCGGUAGAGGGUAGCGGAAUUCCCGGUGUAGCAGUGAAAUGCGUAGAUAUCGGGAGGAACAUCCGUGGCGAAGGCGGCUACCUGGACCAGCACUGACACUGAGGCACGAAAGCGUGGGGAGCAAACAGGAUUACAUACCCUGGUAGGCUCU
rnacentral:rRNA from 1 species